UACGGAGGGAGCUAGCGUUGUUCGGAAUUACUGGGCGUAAAGCGCACGUAGGCGGCUUUGUAAGUUAGAGGUGAAAGCCCGGGGCUCAACCCCGGAAUUGCCUUUAAGACUGCAUCGCUUGAAUCCGGGAGAGGUGAGUGGAAUUCCGAGUGUAGAGGUGAAAUUCGUAGAUAUUCGGAAGAACACCAGUGGCGAAGGCGGCUCACUGGACCGGUAUUGACGCUGAGGUGACGAAAGGCGUGGGGAGCAAACAGG
rnacentral:rRNA from 1 species